rnacentral:misc_RNA from 1 species
GAUGAGAACGCAGCGAAAUGCGAUAAGUAAUGUGAAUUGCAGAAUUCAGUGAAUCAUCGAAUCUUUGAACGCACCUUGCGCUCCUUGGUAUUCCGAGGAGCAUGCCUGUUUGAGUGUCAUGGAAUUCUCAACCUUUUCAGCUUUCUUUGUUGAUCAGGCUUGGAUGUGGGAGUAUGCGGGCUUCUCAGAAGUCGGCUCUCCUGAAAUGCAUUAGCGGGACCUUUGUUGCCUGGCUUUGGUGUGAUAAUUAUCUACGCCAUUGUAGUCAAGCAGCUUAAAAUGAGGUUUCAGCUUCUAACCGUCUCCCCUGAGACAACUUUUUGACAAUUUGACCUCAAAUCAGGUAGGACUACCCGCUGAACUUAAGCAUAUCAAUAAGCGGAGGA